UCACCGGGUGAACAUCCAUUGC
rnacentral:miRNA from 1 species